CAACAUGGAGUACCAGGACCAUAGGAACAACCUGAAAGUAAUAGAUAAAUGAAGUGUUUAUUCAGUUCUCCAAAUGCACUGAUAACUUAUUUUUAACCUAGUUUGAUGCUUGGAAUGCUUGGGAUGCUAGAAGGCAAGCUAUUCAGACAUUGUCCCUGCAAAUCAACUCACAAGGACAUUGCUAGAGAAUUUAGCUCCCUGCUGAUUCAGAGUUUCUCUGAAACAUCCAGGCCGGGCGGCUGUCAAAGGCAAAAUACGAAGCUAGACUAAUCAUUGUUCUAGCCUAGGAAGGUUGUUCUUAUUACAGGACGCAUCUGACUGGAAACUCAGCAGCAGCAGUCGGCAAGGAUGUAGCUGUAUUGCAUUGCAUUUCUGCCAGGAAAUUCAAUCCUAAACAUCUACUUGGAAAUAAGCCCCACGUGAUUCAAUUUAACUUGUAUCCACACCAUCCUUGGGACUAGCAGUGUGCUGUAUUUUUGUGGGUGUGGAGGGGAGAAUCAUUUUAAUGUGUUAUAUGUGGAACUGAGUUAAAUGACUUCUCACGGAGGAAUGAAGAGUUGACUCACCGUUUAUACGGCUUUUGUUCACAUUGACACUAUUAUUCAUAGCAACUGAGAUAUUAAAAUUACUAAAUCUGUUGCCAGGUUUUCCACUGCGCAUCACAGCUGUCAAAGAGGGUUUUCAUGCUCUAUAGAACACAUUCUAUUGUGCAAAAAGAUAUUUGUAGCAUUGUCCUCUAGCAGCUGCAGUAGGCAGCGUAUUCAGAAAGGCUAGACAACUUCAGUAUCAAAGGCUCCUAGACAGGAAAGUCUCCUACCUCUGUAGCUAGCAAAAUAUCUAACUGUAAAAAUGCAGAGUUAUUUUUAUUUGAUUGUUCUACUUCUCAAAAAAACAACAAAAAACAAACAAGUGUACAGUAAUCAAGAACUACCUUUAUUUUUAAUGGAAUGUUUUCUCAGCCAUGUAAAUGGAAAAUAAAACAGGCCAUUUAUUAAUUGCCCUUUACCUCUCUCCCCCUCCCCCCAGGAACAUUACUUUAAAUCUUCAGGUGUAAUUACUGCAAACAAUUCAGGAACAUUUCAGAGAAUCAGCUCAAGGGGGGGGGGGCAAUCAUUGAAGCAGUAAACAUGCUGCGGCUUCUGAUAAGAGCUCCACAACUGUUUUCUACAGAGAAAAGACUUUGCCGCUUGCCUCUGAUAAUUUUCUUCAUCCUUUUGUUGGUUUCCUAGUACAGUGUGUACAUUGUUGGUUUUCUUCUCCAUUCCACCCUGUAUCAGUGUAAUGCUAGUGGCAGGGAUAAAAUUAGCCCCCCAAACUAAAUAAUAACAACCUAUGUUUUUAAAAAGAGUUCUAUGUGUUACCUAUUGUGAAGAAAAUAGUCUACAGUGAUUGGAAAACAAUUAAUAAAUUCACAGUAGGGCAAUACAUUCAUUAGGACCUACUAAAAUAUUGCUUACUACUUUGUGGCAUUUUACUUGGGUCAUUUAAAAUGUGUUGCCUUUAUUUAUUAUUAUUAUCGUUCAAGAUUAUUUUAUUAAUUAAGAGAGUAGGCCUUUUCUGUGGUAGUUUCUUGACUGUGGAAUGUCUCCCCAAUGCAGUUCACUUAGUGCUGUCUUCGUCAUACAGUAUUUCUGGUGCCAAGCAAAGACAUUUUCCCAGACAUUUGGACAGCACUGAUUAUCAGGCUUUUGGUGGUCUUGUGUGAAUGGAGGGAGUAUUUUGUACUGUCUCAGAUGACUUUUUCUUUGAAGGAACAUGGUUGGCAUUUUGUGUUUGUGUUAUUUUUUUGAAUUUGUUAUGUAUUUUAGUAUUGCAAAUAGUUUCUGGAUGUGUAAAGCAAUAUAUAAAUAUAAUAAACGAAUUAUUGUUGCAGCAUUAUGGACAAAGAUCAUUAUGAACAAAGACGAACUGAUUGUUAUUUCACUUAAUUCUGGAGACACUUGUAAACCACAAUGUUGGAAAAUUAGUCAGAGAAAGCCCUGCUCGGUGGUACAGCUGAUAUGAGGUUCCCUACAUGAUAAAAUGGAAAAAUAAAAACUGUGCCAAUUGCAAGACA